rnacentral:rRNA from 1 species
CACGUAGGGGCCAAGCGUUGUCCGGAUUUAUUGGGCGUAAAGAGCUCGUAGGCGGUUCGGUAAGUUGGGUGUGAAACCUCCAGGCUCAACCUGGAGACGCCACCCGAUACUGCUGUGACUAGAGUCCGGUAGGGGAGCGUGGAAUUCCUGGUGUAGCGGUGAAAUGCGCAGAUAUCAGGAGGAACACCAGUGGCGAAGGCGGCUUACUGGUCCGGUACUGACGCUGAGGUGCGAAAGCGUGGGGAGCAAACAGG